rnacentral:tRNA from 18 species
GCGAAAAACGUCGACACUCUCAUUUUCAUGA